CCUACGGGUGGCUGCAGUGGGGAAUAUUGGACAAUGGGGGGAACCCUGAUCCAGCCAUACCGCGUGUGUGAAGAAGGCCCUCGGGUUGUAAAGCACUUUCAGUGAGGAAGAACGCCUGGUGGUUAAUACCCAUCAGGAAAGACAUCACUCACAGAAGAAGCACCGGCUAACUCCGUGCCAGCAGCCGCGGUAAUACGGAGGGUGCGAGCGUUAAUCGGAAUUACUGGGCGUAAAGCGCGCGUAGGUGGCUUGAUAAGCCGGUUGUGAAAGCCCCGGGCUCAACCUGGGAACGGCAUCCGGAACUGUCAAGCUAGAGUGCAGGAGAGGAAGGUAGAAUUCCCGGUGUAGCGGUGAAAUGCGUAGAGAUCGGGAGGAAUACCAGUGGCGAAGGCGGCCUUCUGGACUGACACUGACACUGAGGUGCGAAAGCGUGGGUAGCAAACAGGAUUAGAUACCCCAGUAGUC
rnacentral:rRNA from 1 species